UACGUAGGGUGCGAGCGUUGUCCGGAAUUAUUGGGCGUAAAGAGCUUGUAGGCGGUCUGUCGCGUCUGCUGUGAAAAUCCGGGGCUCAACCCCGGACUUGCAGUGGGUACGGGCAGACUAGAGUGUGGUAGGGAGACUGGAAUUCCUGGUGUAGCGGUGAAAUGCGCAGAUAUCAGGAGGAACACCGAUGGCGAAGGCAGGUCUCUGGGCCACUACUGACGCUGAGAAGCGAAAGCAUGGGGAGCGAACAGG
rnacentral:rRNA from 1 species